rnacentral:piRNA from 1 species
UAAAUGGACCAGCUGGACAUGGUGUCUCA